CCUGGAGCUGAGACGCAGGCAGGAGCACGGAGGAGCGGGCAGGGCCUGGAGGCUGCACGCCUUGCCCAGCACACGAGCCACGGGCGUCAAAGGAGGCCGGCAGCUCCGCAAAGCGAGAGGGCAGCGAUGCCCGCGCUCGAGCUGCAGGGCUCCUCGCUGCAGGAUGCUGCCCAUGCUAAAGGGGUGGGGGGGGAUUGCAAUUGUACCACCUACAAAAAAUAAACCCACCAAGGUUGUGGAGGUGGGAAUAUGCACCCGAGGGCACGCUGGAGGUGGUGUGUGCUCUUACAAGCACGUUGGGAGCGCGGCAGUGCACGUUGCAGGCGGCGGGGGGCACCCCCCGUCCGCUGCAAGCACCCCGAGCGCCUCGCGGCUCCCACCCUGCGCCCACCGCUUUGCCCGGUGAGUCCCAGACGCGAAGACGUGCGCGGUGCUCACUUGUUGUUGCUGGACAACCCGCAGAGGAGGACGGGGCCCUGGGAGAGGCCGGGACGUCUGGAGCCGGCGCGAGGGAGGCAGAGGACUGGUGGAUUGCC